rnacentral:rRNA from 1 species
GACGAACGCUGGCGGCGUGCUUAACACAUGCAAGUCGAACGGAAAGGCCCUGCUUUUGUGGGGUGCUCGAGUGGCGAACGGGUGAGUAACACGUGAGUAACCUGCCCUUGACUUUGGGAUAACUUCAGGAAACUGGGGCUAAUACCGGAUAGGAGCUCCUGCUGCAUGGUGGGGGUUGGAAAGUUUCGGCGGUUGGGGAUGGACUCGCGGCUUAUCAGCUUGUUGGUGGGGUAGUGGCUUACCAAGGCUUUGACGGGUAGCCGGCCUGAGAGGGUGGCCGGCCACAUUGGGACUGAGGUACGGCCCAGACUCCUACGGGAGGCAGCAGUGGGGAAUAUUGCACAAUGGGCGGAAGCCUGAUGCAGCAACGCCGCGUGCGGGAUGACGGCCUUCGGGUUGUAAACCGCUUUCGCCUGUGAGGAAGCGUGAGUGACGGUAAUGGGUAAAGAAGCACCGGCUAACUACGUG